UUGUCUGGAUUCAACUUGAGUUUGUUUUUCCUCAUCCAGUCCAUUACUGCUUCAAGACACUGACUGAGAGAAGAAAUAGCAUCUGUCAUCUGAGCUGCUGACUGGGACAUGGAGAAAUAUAUUUGGGUGUAAUCAGCAUACUAACACCCCGCCCCUUGACUACGGAUGAUUUCUCCCAGCGGCUUCAUAUAUAUAUUGAAAACAGGAUGGCGCCUUGAGGGACUCCACAUUUAAGCUUCGAUUUUGAGGAGCGGCUAUCCCCGAGCAUCACCAUCUGGAAUCUGCUGACUACAGAAAAAUCGUUGGAUAAUUACUUAAAGACAACACAUCCUGGUCAUGACACUGUACCACUGAGACUGACUCACAGGGAGUUCUCUUACCUCAACCAUGAUUCUAUGAGUUAGGUCUUCUUUGGCUACUUCCACAUUCUGCAUAUGCCAGGCCCUAGCUGGCUGCCAACCAAAGACAUACAUCGCCAAUAAAUUAUUGAUACAGUGAAAAAGAACUCCCUCAGACCUUGAAACUGAGCUGCUGAAAACCAAGCCAAAGGCAGAAGGCUCUCAGAGGAAAAGAAAAGAACAGCUUAUACACAGUUGGCAAAUACUGAAGAAGGAUUUUGGUUGAGUGACAUAAGGAGUUCAAGAAUGGUCUUUGCUUACAUU